GUAAUAGCUCACUAGUCGAGUGACACUGCGCCGAAAAUGUACCGGGGCUAAACAUAUUACCGAAGCUGUGGAUUGUCCUUUGGACAAUGGUAGGAGAGCGUUCUAAGGGCGUUGAAGCAUGAUCGUAAGGACAUGUGGAGCGCUUAGAAGUGAGAAUGCCGGUGUGAGUAGCGAAAGACGGGUGAGAAUCCCGUCCACCGAUUGACUAAGGUUUCCAGAGGAAGGCUCGUCCGCUCUGGGUUAGUCGGGUCCUAAGCUGAGGCCGACAGGCGUAGGCGAUGGAUAACAGGUUGAUAUUCCUGUACCACCUAUAAUCGUUUUAAUCGAUGGGGGGACGCAGUAGGAUAGGCGAAGCGUGCGAUUGGAUUGCACGUCUAAGCAGUAAGGCUGAGUAUUAGGCAAAUCCGGUACUCGUUAAGGCUGAGCUGUGAUGGGGAGAAGACAUUGUGUCUUCGAGUCGUUGAUUUCACACUGCCGAGAAAAGCCUCUAGAUAGAAAAUAGGUGCCCGUACCGCAAACCGACACAGGUAGUCAAGAUGAGAAUUCUAAGGUGAGCGAGCGAACUCUCGUUAAGGAACUCGGCAAAAUGACCCCGUAACUUCGGGAGAAGGGGUGCUCUUUAGGGUUAACGCCCAGAAGAGCCGCAGUGAAUAGGCCCAAGCGACUGUUUAUCAAAAACACAGGUCUCUGCUAAACCGUAAGGUGAUGUAUAGGGGCUGACGCCUGCCCGGUGCUGGAAGGUUAAGAGGAGUGGUUAGCUUCUGCGAAGCUACGAAUCGAAGCCCCAGUAAACGGCGGCCGUAACUAUAACGGUCCUAAGGUAGCGAAAUUCCUUGUCGGGUAAGUUCCGACCCGCACGAAAGGCGUAACGAUUUGGGCACUGUCUCAACGAGAGACUCGGUGAAAUCAUAGUACCUGUGAAGAUGCAGGUUACCCGCGACAGGACGGAAAGACCCCGUGGAGCUUUACUGUAGCCUGAUAUUGAAAUUCGGCACAGCUUGUACAGGAUAGGUAGGAGCCUUUGAAACGUGAGCGCUAGCUUACGUGGAGGCGCUGGUGGGAUACUACCCUAGCUGUGUUGGCUUUCUAACCCGCACCACUUAUCGUGGUGGGAGACAGUGUCAGGCGGGCAGUUUGACUGGGGCGGUCGCCUCCUAAAAGGUAACGGAGGCGCUCAAAGGUUCCCUCAGAAUGGUUGGAAAUCAUUCAUAGAGUGUAAAGGCAUAAGGGAGCUUGACUGCGAGACCUACAAGUCGAGCAGGGUCGAAAGACGGACUUAGUGAUCCGGUGGUUCCGCAUGGAAGGGCCAUCGCUCAACGGAUAAAAGCUACCCCGGGGAUAACAGGCUUAUCUCCCCCAAGAGUUCACAUCGACGGGGAGGUUUGGCACCUCGAUGUCGGCUCAUCGCAUCCUGGGGCUGUAGUCGGUCCCAAGGGUUGGGCUGUUCGCCCAUUAAAGCGGUACGCGAGCUGGGUUCAGAACGUCGUGAGACAGUUCGGUCCCUAUCCGUCGUGGGCGUAGGAAAUUUGAGAGGAGCUGUCCUUAGUACGAGAGGACCGGGAUGGACAUACCUCUGGUGUACCAGUUGUCGUGCCAACGGCAUAGCUGGGUAGCUAUGUGUGGACGGGAUAAGUGCUGAAAGCAUCUAAGCAUGAAGCCCCCCUCAAGAUGAGAUUUCCCAACUUCGGUUAUAAGAUCCCUCAAAGAUGAUGAGGUUAAUAGGUUCGAGGUGGAAGCAUGGUGACAUGUGGAGCUGACGAAUACUAAUCGAUCGAAGACUUAAUCAA
rnacentral:rRNA from 1 species